CUCCGCCCCGCGUCCUCUCUUCCCUCGCGCCCCCCAUCCCCGCCGCCACCUCCUUGCUCGGCCUCCUCCGCGACGGCGCCGGCGCCCCCAGCCUCCUCCCGUGCAUCUCCGCGCCUCUCACGCUGCUCCUCUCUAAUCCCCUUGCCUUCUCCUUCUGCUGCGUCCGGCGGCGCCGCUGCGCCUCCCUGGUCGCCCCGCCCUUCUCCUUCUCCCUUGCCCCGUCUUCAACCCCACCCAGCAGCUCCCCUUUUUGGCCAGCCCGUUGGGAGGAGCACGGGAGGCCGCCGGCCGCCGCUGGCCGCUGCCAUCCACAGCUCCACAGCUAACAGCAGCAACAGUGUUCGAGGUAUGUCCCUUCUGGCUUCUCACUCCCCGUAUUUGCUCUCUCUCCCCCCAUUUGCGUGUUGUGUUGUCGCUGGAGGAAAGGGAGGGGUGGAGAGCCCCAUGGGGGUGCAGAGGACAUGCGACCUGGGGAAGGGACGUGGGGACCAGCAAUUGGGGAUCUCCUCCACGACUCCGUCGACGUUGCAGGUGCUCUGGUUCUAUUCACCUGGUAGUGAUGUCGAUUUGGUCACCUACCUUCUCUCCCUUGAUGUUGGAUUUAUCAGCGAGGAACGGCAUGGCAGCGUGGUUUCUGUUUAUUCCGCAUGGUGUCCAUGGCCAAUAAUGGUGUUCAAUUCGUUGAUAUAUGCAUAGCAACCAGAGCGCUUAAUGUUGGUUUGAUUGACUUGCUAGAACUUCACAAACUUCCCUGGCAGAAGAGAAAAACUGAUAUUGCAUAAUUAUUUGCAGAUGACUGCUACCUGCUAUAAGUAAGCUGAAGGUAAGUUUUGCAAAUUAAGCUUGUCUUGACGAAUCACAUGUUUAGGAUUUUAGAAUUGAUGCCUCAUAUCAUUCUGCAGUUUGCACUUUAAGUACUGGACAGUCCUAGCUCAGUAAAGUGUUAUUUGACACACUUGGAUAAACUUUUGAUUCUUAUAUAAUCCCUAUUUGUGAACCGGCUGGUCCUUGGUAGUGGUUUUGAAGUAUUUUCUGUUGAGAAGAAGAAACUUGAGCGAUCAGUUCCUACAGAACUGAAUAAAGAUCGCAAUGGGAUACUUGAGUUAGCAUAGGUUUAUGCUUUUGACAUGAUCUUACAAUACAAGCAUAUCAGUCACUUGACAUAUGUUUAAAGUUACAAAUUACCAUAUGAUGAAAACUCUUCCCAAGCUUGUUUAAGCAAUGAGCAAGACAUAAUUUGAUAGAAGCUUUCAGUCUCUCAAUGGUUAAACUGUAACCUAUACCAUAAUACCAUAUUGCUCUAGGCUCUAGCUAUAACAUCAUUCACAUGCAGGUUAAAGGGUAUGUCACUGUAGAACAGGUCGAGAAGGACUUCUCAUGAUCUACCGGUCGUGCAAUUGAUGCCCUCGAAACGUUUCUGAAGGAGGGACUUGCUAUCAUCGCCGACGGGCACAUGUACAACAAGUGUAUAUAUUGGUUCCUGUGCGUGAUCCCGUGCUAGACUGGUUCUCACUCCACACAACCUUGCCCUCUAUGAAAAGAAGAUGAAGAUUGAUUGGUGUUGCAUAUUUUCUAUGCAGGCUAGAUGAUGAAGAUCGAUUGGUGUCUUCAUUAUUCUUUGUGAUAUGGGGCAGUAUGUUCAAUUUAGCCCUAGAUAUGGACACAGGGCGUGACAUGCUCUUUCUCUACGCUCUUUCUCUACGGAACUGUCAGUAUUGCAAUGGGGCCAAGAAAUUUUAUUGAAGUUCAUUUUCGAGGACCUUGAGUAAAUAAGGUGAUCAGGGCAUCCACCAGGGAGAACCAUCUAACCUAAAGGUUAAACAAAUCAUGCCAUCCUUCUUUUCAGAUAACCAUUGAUGUAGUUAUGCACGUGUUUUACAUGCUACAGCUGUAGUUUUCAAAAUAGGAUCAUAUAUGUGUUCAGGUCCCCUUCCAGUUUUAUCUCAUCAUCUUCUAUCAUGCUUAAUUUUUUAUUUAUUUAGACUAAGGCCAAGUGGUGGGAGUCCAUUUGUGCAGCAGCUUGCAUAACCUAUCAGUUUCUGAACUUUUAUACAGUGGCAUAGGUUGAAUCGAGGACACAGUAAGUAAGAUUCUAAACUUUUAUUUAUGCCAACUAGAAAAUCCAAAGCACAAGAUGUAUAAAUACAGAUUUAGUACAGGUAUGUCAGAAUGCAUGAAUAACUUUGCAAGCUCAUUCUUGUGAUAAAUAUCUGCCAUCCAGUAUACUAGCUGCUAGCAUAGUUUCCGAGUUCCAACUGAACAAUUUAAACUGUGCAUCUCUGUACAAUUUAAACUGUGCAUAGUGUUAGGCUUCAGAGUAAACACGAACUUGAAUUUUUUGCUGAUUGAGUGACUGAACCCAAGGACCAAGAAUUAGCUUACAGCAGCAGGUAGAUUUUGGAGGCCCGGCCUAGCUUGUAUACAGAUUUGAGGCAAAAGAAUAUAUCAAGGAAACAUGCAUGCUACAUUGUUGUUCUAGCUCCGUCCCUAUAUCCUUGUUACCAGAGUCUUAGCUAACUAUAUUAUACUCCUUAGACAGGGUCGAUAUUUGCUCUAAGGCUUGAGGCUUGAUCCAAUGGUUUCAAAUUCUUGCAUUUCGAUUAUUGGCAUUGUGUCUAAGGAGGGUUUUACUGCACAUUAAGUCAAGUUAUAUAAUGGGAGCAUGUUAGCCUUAAAUAUUAUUGCCAGACCCUUUAUUUUGGAGAUUGGUUAUUUAUUUGUGGCCCAAAUCACCAUACUGAUUCUCUAAUAGUAGUGCAGAAUAUUAUUAUCUCACACUGCCAGUUUGGUUUUCAGUUUGGUUUUCAUCCUUUGAACUGGAAUUAAGUAGAUUAUGUUUGUGGAUUUACCUACGGAAUAUUUAAAUAAUUGGAUCUAUAUCAGGUUAUUCGUAAAGUAUGAGUACUAUUUACCUUAUUCCAGAACUGUCUUAAAAGAGUAGGUGAGAUUUAUUCGUCGAUUAUCCCUACCUAUAAAAGAGUAGCUGAAUUGGAUUUGGGACUGGAAGGCCUUGGAGGCCGAGAAGGAAGGCGCCUCCGUAAAUGGCCACGGAGAAAAAUGAUGUGGCCAUUGAUGAUAAGCUGGAGGCUUGCGAUUAUUCAGUAUAAAAUGUAAUUACUUCUGGCCAAUCCUGCUAUUCCUCUUCAUUUUCUCCCUAGAAAAUAUUUUUGGCCUGCUCUAAGUUAUCUAUCAAACUCUUCUACUGACUGUAGUUGCUGAUCAGUGAAGUACAUGUGCCUUCAUUUUCUCCCUAAACAAUAUUUUUGUCCUGCCCUAAGUUAUCUAUAAAGCUCCUCUACUAACUGUAGUUGUUGAUUAGUGUACAUGUGCCCUAUGUUUCUGGCAUAUUGAGCUGGUAAUGGUUGUUCAGCUAGGAGUAUAAGAUGGAUGAAAAAAAGACCUCUGGUUUGUGACUUCGUGUCAUGUAAAAGGCCUUUAGUUUCCAUUUGGUUCAUAACAUCAUAUUAGUCUUUGCAUACAACUAAACAUGAUUGAUGACAUAUUCCAGUGAUUUGCUUUUUUAUUGAUGGCUCAGUUGUGUUUGUCUUAAUUGCCUAUUGUUUUGACUAAAAGCAGUUUUAUUACAUGCUGCUGAUUAUUUAGAUACCCUCCCUAUCAAAGUACUUCCAGCCAUUGUUUUUUUUUCUUUUUCUCCUAAACUGAAAAGCAACAAAGUUGAAUACUGUGGUCAGCUUCGAAAAUUAUCGAAGAUUUGGCAGAUUUUCUCCUAAAGUAAGUUGGCGGGGCGCUGUCAAAUGGUUCCUUAUUUUACAAGUUUGAUAUUGUGCAUGACAAAUUUUGGUAAUGUGGAAUGGAAUGAAUAUCAGUCCAUCUGUUACAAUUUUAUGAACAACAAUUUAUCAUUAUAUCUGGGAUAUCUACUUUUAAUUUAUCAUCUCUUACAGUUUCAUCAUCUCUUACAGCAUGUAACAUUUUUUGUUGAGAAUGGUUACAGUAAACAUGGAUUUUUCUGGUGAGAUUAUAGAAAUCUUAAAGAUUAACUUCUUUAUCCACACAAGUCUAUUUGUGAACCAAUACAUGCAAGAACAAAUGAAGGCAAACAAACAGCAUCGGUACUAAGUGUAGACAGAGAAGAUGUUCAGGUAAGUUUGGGACUUUCAAUCUGGCCUAGCAUAAUAGUUUCUCUCGGAAAAAAAUAAUUGGUACCUGCAAAUAAACAACAGUGAUUUAAUUAGAAUAACUAUGAAAAUGAAGGUUCAAGGAGGGAUGUGGGAGCACAUGACACAACGCAGGCGCAUGUAUACUUAUGCUUCAGCCCAGGGUUCUUGCACAUCACUAAGCACUAAGAAGUAUUCAGCUUGUUCUCUUUAAUGAAAAUACCUACUUAUUUUGUGUACCUGUGUAUUUCCUGCUUAUUUCUUUAAAGGAAAAAGUUCCUGAAUAUAUACUAUUUAAAUCAAUGGAUUUAUUAGUACUCCAACUUCAAGUGCAUCUGCUACUUUGGUUUGGUCAUAUAAACACAACCUGCUACGAAGUGGUUAAUCUGAACAAGGUACAAUAGUUUGUGUCAUCCUUUUUGCUAUAAUAUUUAAUGUUUGGGAAUAUGUCGAGCUUUUCUUCCUUUCUGGUUUUGUUAUUCGUAAUGUUAAAAGUAACUUACAUCAUCAUCUAGGGAUAUCAAAUUUGUGAGAAUAAGUGAGAUUUCAAAUGAAGUUACCUUCAAAUAGAUACAUGAUUUUUUUUUGGAUAUCAGUAAAACCCAUAACUAUAUGGACAUUGUGUUGCUCUUUUCCAAGUUUGAGUCUUCGCUUAUAUUUAUUUGAAUAUUUGUGCCAUUGACUUGUUCAUUCAUAUGCGUGUUUUUUAUAUUAUGCAUAAAAUCCGAAGUCUAAAAAGAUUACACAUUAUGAUACUAUACGGGCAUGUGCAUUGUUCUUGACUGACCUUUUUCUCUUAAAAGCUUGCCCAUGUCCUGUUGGACAUCAUCUGUGCAAUCUUUUGAUGCAUUCUCUAUAUUUGACACUAACCACACAAUCAUCAUUUAGUAGCAUUUUAUUUUUCCCUGAAUUCAUUCAGAAUAGCCUGCAGCUGUUUUUACUAUUGUACAAAAUCACGACGCUUCAAUAGAAGCAAAUCUUAAAAAAAAAGAUGAGGCACCAAUUUUUAUGGCAUCAUCAUGGUGCGCUGGAAAUAAAAACAUAAUUGAUCCUUUCUGUCUUUUGAUGUCUAAUUUUCAUUUGUCAUUUUCAUUCUCAGUAUUCUGCAGGAGAAGAAUUCUAGCUUGGAUAGACAGCUGGAAGAUGCUAAGACUAAUAUGCAAGAGGAGAUCAUUCUGUUACAAAGAUAGAAGGAACACACCUUUUAUUGUUUACAAAAGUCAAAUGCUUCAGUCAAGAGUCUUGAAUGUGAGUUAGAGUAGCAAAGAGAAAACAACUAUAUUCUACAGCCUGCCAAUGAAGAUAUGCAGAAGAGUAACUCUGACCUGAAGAAAGGGUCUGAAGAUGCCUUGGUUAGUUUCCAUGAUGAAAUUGUAGCAAUUCAAGAUAAGAAGAAUAAAACCCUCUCAGAGUUGCAGCAGUUUGUGGUUUCCGUUGAGAAUCUUAGAAUUGAGGAGCAGAUUUUUGAUGAAGACAUGAAGAAUAGCAAUGCUAGCUUGACCAAGAAAUGGGAGGAAUUAAGAGCAGCUUACUUGAGGAAACUGUAACACUACGUGAAGAGAAGUAAAUAGCUCUGUCAGAGUUACAACAGUCUCACGCUUCUACCAGGAACCUUGAGACAAAGGUGUAGAAAAGCAAAUUGCGAGUAUUUCAGUUGUACAACAAUCUAAUGAUGACUUACUGAAGAACAUUUGUGGCCUGACCCAACAGUUUGGAAAAUCCAAGGUUGAGUUGCAGAAGGAGAUUAAAGUGACACAAGAAAAGAGAUAAUGUAUUAACCCAACUAAAACAAUCAGAGUUUUCCUGCGAUGUAGCCUCCGAAGACCAUUUGUAGAUAAUGCUUUUAUUGUUCCUUUCUUAUAACAUAGCCAUUGAGUGUU